GGCGGAUGCGGCGCCCAGGCCCACCGUACCGCUGGUGACGCCACUCGGCGAGCGCAAGUGGAUAAAUAGAAACGUCUGCCACAGCGAAGAUGAAAGGAAACCCGCAGCUAAUGGCUCGGCAGUGAUGCGCCAGGUGUGGGCCUCGCUCGAUUGGGGAGGAGAGUGUGAAAACAGACAGAGAGACACACACACUGAGAGAGGGAGACACCCAGGCAGAGGGGAUGCAAAUGGAAUUCCGCAGAAAGAAAAGAGAGCUUAACGCGCGCGGCGAGUUCCGCAGGGGCAGCGGGACUCGAUGGCCUUAAGUUUUCCACAGCCUGGCUUCAUCUUGAGAUGGCUAUUCGUACAAGAAGUCGCUUUCCCGUUUGCCUGGACCUCGCCUGCACUCCAGGUAUGUUGGGUGGGGAGAGUUUCUAAGAGUUGUCUUUUUUUUUCCCUUGCCCAUAUUUUAAAGUAUUCGUUCAGAAUCAGCGAAGUCUCCUGGAAAGAGGUUUUUCGAAUGAAGAGGCGCCAGGAAUGCGGCCCCUGCUGUGGCAGUACUGGAGGCCCCUACUUGGGAGAAGGCAGUAGCUUUCACCGCGCUAUUUUGGGCAGGGGUUCAGCCUCCCCGAGUACAAAAAGGUUGGGGUUCAUAGAGGUUUGACUCAUAAGGUCCUCUCCCAAGUCCCUGCCUAGGGGCAGUGGUACCUGUCUCCAAAAGUGGAUGGCGUUUGAGGUAGAAGAGAGUGAAGUCGCUGAAAAUGCCCUAAAACAGCAAGUAAGUAGGGACUCUGAUGAAGGGCUGGAGGUGGGGGCAGGGGUUGUGGAACUUAAUAUCUGGAAGCUGCCAUAGGCCUCUCUUGGCUCCUCUCCCAGGGAAGAAGCUGGUAUAAAACUCCUUCAAACUGACCCUUUUUGAGCUCCAAGCAAGUGUGCUGGGGCCAGGUGGGUGGGCUGAGUCUAUCCCCACAUUGCUGAGAGCAGGAGGUGGGCACCUUCUAUGCUCAACCCCCCUUUCUCCGCCUCCUCCCGAAGAGCUUCUAGCCCUAGGCAGCCAGCUGCAAAGGGCAGCCCAGCACCUCCCUCCUUUCUGUGUCCCUAGCAAAGCCCCAGCUUUUACAGGUAAGUCCUCUUCCGUGACCUUUUUAUCUGUUAUCUCCUACUUUUCUCUCCUCCUUUUUCUCUUUCUGUAUUCUUCUCCUUCUUUGCUUCUCUCCUCCAUCUUCCUAUCCAUAGGGUUAAGGAAGGUAGAGGAAGUAAGGGGUCCAAAGAAAGACAAAGUUUCCUC
rnacentral:lncRNA from 10 species